rnacentral:rRNA from 1 species
UACAGAGGUCUCAAGCGUUGUUCGGAUUCAUUGGGCGUAAAGGGUGCGUAGGCGGCGCGGUAAGUCGGGUGUGAAAUCUUGGAGCUUAACUCCGAAACUGCAUUCGAUACUGCCGUGCUUGAGGACUGGAGAGGAGACUGGAAUUUACGGUGUAGCGGUGAAAUGCGUAGAGAUCCUGAGGAACACCGGUGGCGAAAGCGGCGUGCUGGACACCUACUGACGCUGAGGCGCGAAAGCCAGGGGAGCGAACGGG